rnacentral:lncRNA from 13 species
UUGCACGCCCAAUUUUUCAGUUUUUGAUUUGUUAAAAAAGUUUGAAAUAUCCAAUAAAUGUCGUUCCACUUCAUGAUUGUGUCCCACUUGUUGUUGAUUCUUCACAAAAAAAUACAGUUUUAUAUCUUUAUGUUUGAAGCCCGAAAUGUGGCAAAAGGUCGCAAAGUUCAAGGGCGCCGAAUACUUUCGCAAGGCACUGUGUAUAUAUAUAUAUAUAACUUUCAUUUUUCUUUAUUUUUAAAAGAAAUGCCAUGGCGUUCGUGAAGCAACAUAUGACUCGCAAUCUGCAACCAAUACAUUUUUACCUGCGACAUUGUUUUCAAAGUAUAUCAAUGGUCGUGAAAAUGACAAACAUGGCAACUCUACUAUGAGUUGUAUUUCCGUCAUGGCGCAGACCAUAUUAAGAAAUCGCAUGAUAUCAUUCCAUGUCACCCCACCACCUACCAAAGGACUCUUGGGCUCAAUUCUUCACGGCUGACGCCACAUACCUAAACUAUACCGCCGUUUCGGUUAGUUAAAAUGAUUAUUCCGAUAACUUCUGGUUCUGACAUUUUGUGGAAACUGAACUGCGCGUACAUCCUAGUGGGGUGUCUGCUGCCUGUUGUAGACACUCACAACAUUAACUGUAAGGUGAUCCAACAUCCUAACUAUACAACGACCUAUGACCUCCAUGAACUACCUGAAUCUCUGCCUUUGGCCUAUUGCGAGACCCAGUGGUUGGAUGAAAACAUAACUGUUCUUGCCAAUGACAAAGAGAGAGACGAAAACCGUACUUUGGCUCAGACCAGUCACUCCAUCACUAUCUUAGGCUGCCUGGACAGACUGACCUACUCAAUGGACUGCACGCUGACUGUGGCACCAUUUUGGGACGUGCAGUGCCUCACUAACUGCAGUCAUGGACCUUACAAACCUGCCACCAAUCUCCACAGUAAUGACCAUGUCCCCAUCAAUCAAGGUUAGAGUAAUACAGUUUCACCUUUUCAAUCUGACACUGCUUGUUUUACUGUCGCCAAUCGGAUUGCUUGCAUUGAACCCGGUUCAAAGAAAAGACCCAGCUCUUUCAAUCUAUUGGACUGUCCUGGGGAAACAGGAAGAUAUAACAGUUGACGUUACUCAUCAACAACUUGGUGUGUUGUCACUUUAGCACUUUCCCUUCUCUCCCUGUGUUUACAACAUGGUUCACUUUAAUAUGGCUCAACUCUUUAUUAUCUCACAUUAGCUUAUCAUCAGGUGUGUUUAUCUACUUUAAUAGGACCAUAUUUAACCUCAGAGACUCCGCUUGGCUCAGAAAGAGUGUUACAGCUGAGAUAACCACAGAUUAUCAGCUCUCUGAGUUGACUCAAUUCACUACCUCUUUAUCUUGCAAUUAAACAAUGGAAUAACACUCCACUGCUGCGCUAUAGAGUGAGGCAAUGACAGAGCAGAGGCACUCAGGCUAAACAACACAGACGGACGGAGUGUCAGUCAGAUCUCUGGCACUCAGGCUAAACAACACAGACGGAGUGUCAGUCAGAUCUCUGGCACUCAGGCUAAACAACACAGACGGAGUGUCAGUCAGAUCUCUGGCACUCAGGCUAAACAACACAGACGGAGUGUCAGUCANNNNNNNNNNUGCAGUAUUUUGUUCUCAUUGGGGAAAAUGAGCCAGUAGAGUAAUGAUGUAAAUAUUCAUUUGUGUGUCUAUAAAAAAGUAUUGGGUUUUUGUAAAUAAUUUUGUCAGAAUGAAAUAAAUAGUUUUGAAUACAAACGUGUGUGAAGACAGUUUAUUUUGAAAAUGCUGUUCUGAGUGUAUAAUCACAUUUGUAGUGAAGGAAAUGUAUUUGUGCCCAGCAGGUGAUGGUAGUCGUCUAUAAAUGUGUUGUACACAACAACUAGG